rnacentral:tRNA from 4 species
GGGUGCGUAGCUCAGUUGGAUAGAGCACCAGAUUCCGGUUCUGGGUGUCGGGGGUUCAAAUCCCUCCGUACUCG